rnacentral:rRNA from 1 species
GACGAACGCUGGCGGCGUGCUUAACACAUGCAAGUCGAACGGAAAGGCCCUGCUUUUGUGGGGUGCUCGAGUGGCGAACGGGUGAGUAACACGUGAGUAACCUGCCCUUGACUUUGGGAUAACUUCAGGAAACUGGGGCUAAUACCGGAUAGGAGCUCCUGCUGCAUGGUGGGGGUUGGAAAGUUUCGGCGGUUGGGGAUGGACUCGCGGCUUAUCAGCUUGUUGGUGGGGUAGUGGCUUACCAAGGCUUUGACGGGUAGCCGGCCUGAGAGGGUGACCGGCCACAUUGGGACUGAGAUACGGACCAGACUCCUACGGGAGGCAGAAGUGGGGAAUAUUGCACAAUGGGCGGGAGCCUGAUGCAGCAACGCCGCGUGCGGGAUGACGGCCUUCGGGUUGUAAACCGCUUUCGCCUGUGACGAAGCGUGAGUGACGGUAAUGGGUAAAGAAGCACCGGCUAACUACGUG